rnacentral:rRNA from 1 species
UUCGCAAUGCCCGAAAGGGUGACGAUGCGACGCCGCGUGGAGGAUGAAGGCUUUCGGGUUGUAAACCGCUGUCAGGGUGACGGAAGUGUGCGGUCGUUAAUAGCGGCCGUGCUUGACCGAUCCCAAAGGAAGCCAUGGCUAACUCCGUGCCAGCAGCCGCGGUAAUACGGAGAUGGCAAGCGUUGUUCGGAAUUACUGGGCUUAAAGAGCACGUAGGCGGCUCGGUCAGUCGGGUGUGAAAUCCCUCAGCUCAACUGAGGAACUGCGCCCGAUACUGCCGAGCUAGAGAGCAGGAGGGGAGAGUGGAACUCUAGGUGGAGCGGUGAAAUGCGUAGAUAUCUAGAGGAACGCCGGUGGCGAAAGCGACUCUCUGGCCUGCUUCUGACGCUGAGUGUGCGAAAGCCAGGGUAGCGAACGGGAUUAGAUACCCCGGUAGUCCUGGCCGUAAACGAUGGGCACUAAGUAGAGGGGUUUU